rnacentral:misc_RNA from 1 species
UACGGAGGGUGCGAACGUUAAUCGGAAUUACUGGGCGUAAAGCGCGCGUAGGUGGUUCAUUAAGUGGGAUGUGAAAGCCCAGGGCUCAACCCUGGAACUGCAUUCCAAACUGACGAACUAGAGUACGAUAGAGGGAGGUAGAAUUCAGAGUGUAGCGGUGAAAUGCGUAGAUAUUCUGAGGAAUACCAGUGGCGAAGGCGGCCUCCUGGAUUGAUACUGACACUGAGGUGCGAAAGCGUGGGGAGCAAACAGG